GACGAACGCUGGCGGCGUGCUUAACACAUGCAAGUCGAACGGAAAGGCCCAACCUUGCUUGGGUACUCGAGUGGCGAACGGGUGAGUAACACGUGGGUGAUCUGCCCUGCACUUUGGGAUAAGUCUGGGAAACUGGGGCUAAUACCGGAUAGGACCUCCUCUUGGAUGGUGUGGGGGAGAGAGUUUUCGGGGUGGGAGGUGCUCGCGGCCUAUCAGCUCGUUGGGGGGGGAUUGGGGUAUCAAGGCGUCGUCGGGUAGACGGCCUCUGAGGGUGUACGGGCACAUUUGGGCUGAGAUACGGCCCACACUCCCACGGGGGGCGGCAGUGUGGGAUAUUGCGCACUAGGCGCGAGCCUGUUACGGAGCAGCCGCGUGUGGGGGAACGGGCUUUGGGUUUUGAACUCCUUUCGCGCGGGACGAGGCGCUUUGUGGCGGUAACUGGGGAAGAAGCACCGGCUAACUACGUG
rnacentral:rRNA from 1 species